GAUGAACGCUGGCGGCGUGCCUAAUACAUGCAAGUCGAGCGAACAGAUGAGGAGCUUGCUCCUCUGACGUUAGCGGCGGACGGGUGAGUAACACGUGGAUAACCUACCUAUAAGACUGGGAUAACUUCGGGAAACCGGAGCUAAUACCGGAUAAUAUAUUGAACCGCAUGGUUCAAUAGUGAAAGACGGUUUUGCUGUCACUUAUAGAUGGAUCCGCGCCGCAUUAGCUAGUUGGUAAGGUAACGGCUUACCAAGGCUACGAUGCGUAGCCGACCUGAGAGGGUGAUCGGCCACACGGGAACUGAGACACGGUCCAGACUCCUACGGGAGGCAGCAGUAGGGAAUCUUCCGCAAUGGGCGAAAGCCUGACGGAGCAACGCCGCGUGAGUGAUGAAGGUCUUCGGAUCGUAAAACUCUGUUAUUAGGGAAGAACAAAUGUGUAAGUAACUAUGCACGUCUUGACGGUACCUAAUCAGAAAGCCACGGCUAACUACGUG
rnacentral:rRNA from 1 species